CCUGCGGCUAGGACCUGGAUGCUGCCCAUUCUGGAGUGAGGGGGGCCUUGAAGACCCUCUCUCUCUGGUUCCAGGGUGCUCAUGGCCAGCGGCCUGGAGUGUUGGUGGAACUGGCCGUAGUGUCUGGAUCUGGUGGUGGUGGUAGCAGAGCACCUCUUGGAAGGGUUCCAUGGAAAGCAAGUUGGGGAAGACUAUGCCUGCUUGUUUGCUGCUGGAUUUUCAGCAUCUAAAGCUUUGCCUGACAUUUGACAUCUACCAGGAGUUCAAUAAAUAGUUACUGAAUAA